UACGUAGGGCGCAAGCGUUAUCCGGAAUUAUUGGGCGUAAAGAGCGUGUAGGCGGCUAGGUAGGUCCGUUGCGAAAACUCGAGGCUCAACCUCGAGACGCCGGUGGAAACCAUCUAGCUAGAGUCCGGAAGAGGAGAGUGGAAUUCCUGGUGUAGCGGUGAAAUGCGCAGAUAUCAGGAAGAACACCCGUGGCGAAGGCGGCUCUCUGGGACGUGACUGACGCUGAGACGCGAAAGCGUGGGGAGCGAACAGG
rnacentral:rRNA from 1 species